CCUACGGGAGGCAGCAGUGAGGAAUAUUGGUCAAUGGACGAGAGUCUGAACCAGCCAAGUAGCGUGAAGGAUGACUGCCCUAUGGGUUGUAAACUUCUUUUAUAUGGGAAUAAAAUGUUCCACGUGUGGGAUUUUGUAUGUACCAUAUGAAUAAGGAUCGGCUAACUCCGUGCCAGCAGCCGCGGUAAUACGGAGGAUCCGAGCGUUAUCCGGAUUUAUUGGGUUUAAAGGGAGCGUAGGUGGAUUGUUAAGUCAGUUGUGAAAGUUUGCGGCUCAACCGUAAAAUUGCAGUUGAAACUGGCAGUCUUGAGUACAGUAGAGGUGGGCGGAAUUCGUGGUGUAGCGGUGAAAUGCUUAGAUAUCACGAAGAACUCCGAUUGCGAAGGCAGCUCACUGGACUGCAACUGACACUGAGGCUCGAAAGUGUGGGUAUCAAACAGGAUUAGAUACCCCAGUAGUC
rnacentral:rRNA from 1 species